rnacentral:rRNA from 1 species
AACGAACGCUGGCGGCGUGGAUAAGACAUGCAAGUCGAACGGAAUGAAAUCUGUAGCAAUACAGGCUUCAUUCAGUGGCGCACGGGUGCGUAACACGUGAGUAAUCUGCCGGAAAGUGGGGGAUAGCUCGCCGAAAGGCGAAUUAAUACCGCAUGUGGCUAGGGAGGACAUCCUUCCAAGGCCAAAGUCGCAAGACGCUUUCUGAUGAACUCGCGGCCUAUCAGCUAGUUGGUGAGGUAACGGCUCACCAAGGCUCUGACGGGUAGCUGGUCCGAGAGGACGACCAGUCACACUGGAACUGAGACACGGUCCAGACACCUACGGGUGGCAGCAGUCGAGAAUUUUUCACAAUGGGGGAACCCUGAUGGAGCGACGCCGCGUGGAGGACGAAGGUCUUCGGAUUGUAAACUCCUGUCAUGCGGGAACAAGAAAGUGAUAGUACCGCAAGAGGAAGAGACGGCUAACUCUGUGCCAGCAGCCGCCGUAA